rnacentral:lncRNA from 1 species
UGAUCAUCUAGCUCUGUAAAUAUGCUAAUAUUGAUAAUGUUAAACGUGAAAUUAAUUCUUUACAGUGCUACACAAGGAUGCGACGCUUAUUGUAUAGAACAAAAAAAAAAUCGGCUAGACAGUUUUCACUGACUCGCUAAAUUCAUUAAAUCAAAAUACCAUCAGUGAUAAGACGGCACCGCUCAAGGUCGGGUUCGGUUCCCACGAAUCGGUGAACUCUGGUGAGCCUGAACCACUCAAAGCGGCAGGGCCUGCGAACCGCUCGGCCAAUCAGGGAGCAGAACGGAAUUCGGCUAGAUGCGCCAUUUUACUGCGUCCAGAGCCAUCCGGUAAGAUGGUCCCCUCGCUUUGUCUCCCCUGAACGGAGUUGUUACGGUAUUCUUUUCUCGCUUCGGUACCGUCGAAAAUCUGGAAAUUGGGUUAAAGUGAGCCGCAUUUACUAGAAAGACGUGUCUGGGUUGGACAAGACAUGACGACAUUGAAAAGCAGGGUGGGAAGGCCCGUGCUUGCAUUUUCGGUGCAUGCCCAUGCAUUGGACCAUGUGUGCACUGCCGAGACUGCAAGGUUGCCAGGGCAACGUGGGGCAAUGAAAUAAGUGGUUCUGCAGUAACGAAGGCAGCUGAACCCGGUGGUGUUAGCGAGACAGAACUUGGAGUCCCUAAUACUCAGAUUGCGGCCUAGCUGCUAGUGGCGGGACUGAGUGUGCAAUCAGCACACUAUGAUGACGCAAACAGCAAAAUAAACAGCAGAGCCUGUGUCUCA